AAGACCCCAACAUGAACUCUGUUCUGGAAGUAUGCAGUCUGAGUUUGAUUACCAUAAUCAAUUAAAACUUUCAACAACGGAUCUCUUGGUUCCGGCAUCGAUGAAGAACGCAGCGAAAUGCGAUAAGUAAUGUGAAUUGCAGAAUUCAGUGAAUCAUCGAGUCUUUGAACGCACAUUGCGCCCCCUGGUAUUCCGGGGGGCAUGCCUGUCCGAGCGUCAUUGCUGCCCUCAAGCACGGCUUGUGUGUUGGGCCCCCGUCCCCGGUUCUCCCCGGGGACGGGCCCGAAAGGCAGCGGCGGCACCGCGUCCGAUCCUCGAGCGUAUGGGGCUUUGUCACCCGCUCUGUAGGCCCGGCCGGCGCCAGCCGACACCCCCAACUUUAUUUUUCUAAGGUUGACCUCGGAUCAGGUAGGGAUACCCGCUGAACUUAAGCAUAUCAAUAAGCGGAGGAAAAGAAACCAACAGGGAUUGCCUCAGUAACGGCGAGUGAAGCGGCAAGAGCUCAAAUUUGAAAGCUGGCCCCCUCGGGGUCCGCGUUGUAAUUUGCAGAGGAUGCUUCGGGUGCAGCCCCCGUCUAAGUGCCCUGGAACGGGCCGUCAUAGAGGGUGAGAAUCCCGUCUGGGACGGGGUGUCUGCGUCCGUGUGAAGCUCCUUCGACGAGUCGAGUUGUUUGGGAAUGCAGCUCUAAAUGGGUGGUAAAUUUCAUCUAAAGCUAAAUACUGGCCGGAGACCGAUAGCGCACAAGUAGAGUGAUCGAAAGAUGAAAAGCACUUUGAAAAGAGAGUUAAACAGCACGUGAAAUUGUUGAAAGGGAAGCGUUUGCGACCAGACUCGCCCGCGGGGUUCAGCCGGCACUCGUGCCGGUGUACUUCCCCGUGGGCGGGCCAGCGU
rnacentral:rRNA from 1 species